rnacentral:rRNA from 4 species
AUGCAAAAUGACUCUCGGCAACGGAUAUCUCGGCUCUUGCAUCGAUGAAGAACGUAGCGAAAUGCGAUACUUGGUGUGAAUUGCAGAAUCCCGUGAACCAUCGAGUCUUUGAACGCAAGUUGCGCCCGAAGCCAUUAGGUUGAGGGCACGCCUGCCUGGGUGUCACAC